rnacentral:tRNA from 1 species
AUUUAUAUAGUUUAAAAAACAUUAUACUUUCAAUAUAAAAUUAUUAAUUAUUAUUAAAUUAAUUAUAAAUA